rnacentral:lncRNA from 1 species
UGUUGAAGGACUUUUGCGGGUAAGAAAUAAUGACAAUAUUCCAUAUAUUUAAAUAUUUAAAUAUAAAUUAUACGAUGUAUUUCUAAUUGUAUGAUAAAUCAUCAGAAUACUGUUAUAGGUGAAAUAUUGAUAAAAUAUAAUAAAAAAAAGUAUUGAUAGUUAAACUAUUGAAUGUAUGUAUUUGUUAGGCGACAGUUGGUUCAUGCAUAUUAUCACACAAUUCAUAUAAUAUAUUUUAUAAUAUGCAACUAAUUAACCAUACUUACAGACAUAUACAUACAGUGCAUGUUGAAGGAAUUUUGCAGGUAAGACAUAAUGACAAUAUUCCAUAUAUUUAAAUAUUUAAAUAUAAAUUAUACGAUGUAUUCCUAAUUGUAUGAUAAAUCAUCAGAAGACUGUUAUAGGUGAAAUAUUGAUAAAAUAUCAUAAAAAAAGUAUUGUGAGUUAAACUACUGACUGUAUGUAUUUGUUAGGCGACAGUUGGUUCAUGCAUAUUAUCACACAAUUCAUAAAAUGUAAUUCUUAUAUUUCAUAAUAUGUAAGGACUCGUAAAAUUAGUGUAUUGCAUUCUUUGUAUAUGUAUUGUUUAAAUAAAUGAAAAAGGCCAUUAUUUUAAAAUGUAAAUCUACCUUAAGUCAUCACUGAUUGUCGAUUUAUUUUUACAAUUAGGUAACAAUAUGUUCACAGGUUAGGGGCAACUACUACUUUAUUAUAAUAAGCAUAUCAUAGGCCCGAGGAUAUUAAUAGUUGAAUAGUCAGUGAUUUGGUGCUAACACGAUUAAUAACUCUCAGUUGAUUGAUUUAAGUGUUUCCGUAAAUGAAGAUUCAUUUUCCCUCAUGACAGGUUGACCUUACAUGGAUUCAGUUAUUCUUGCUAUGUCCUUUUAGUGAUAUAACUCUUUCCAUAUUCAAGUACUGGUACAGCCUUUGCUAUAUUCGUUUUGGUUUAAGUGUUCCUGGUGAUUCAAAGUGUUUUGGACGCAAAAAAAUUAUUAACCUUUUUUUAUUCAUUAUUAUUUGUUAUUACGCAGAAACCGAAGUGAUGACAAUUGUUUCGCAUGAUUUGAUAAUAUACCUUUAAGAACUGUUAUAUCUUCCUAACACAAGCGGACAUUGAAUAUAGGGUAUUGAGGAACACCACAAAGCAUCGUGUACAACUAAAACAUAAAGGUUCCUAUAUAAGGAAUGUCCAUCCAUGUUUAAAAUAUUUGCUGAAAAUAUCAUUGAGACAAGUCAAUUAGGAACCAAUUAAUGUCCAAUUAAACUUUAUAUCAAUAUACUAAAUGACUAAUGUAAACACGAAAAGACUUUAAUUAAUAUCUCAAAAAAAUAUCGCAUCACACACGAUACAGUAGUAGAAUCUAUAUUUUUAAGAUUGGAAAAAUAGUGUUUGGAAUGGAUCGAAGCUAGUCGACAAUGUUAGUUGAGGAAAUAAAUAUAUGUUAAAGGAACAGACUGAAUGUUUUUCUGCUUCAACAUGUUCAAUUAGUAUCAAUAUUUCGUUUCCAAGCAGUAAAGUUAAGUCAUGCGACAUGGUUAUGCUACUCUAUCAUAUAAUUAACUUCGUAAAAGCCAUGUAUAGUGAAUGUGUUUUAAUGGACAUAUUAUAUAACAUUCAGUUCAUAUUUUAUGGUUCACACAUAGUGAUUUAAAAAAUAAAAAUAAAGAAAGAAUUAUUCCGUUUAAAUUAUCUAAACGUAGCAUUUGAAUAUAUAGGACACAUUCCUCGUUCUUAUUAAAAUUUCACAACUCUUAAAAUAUGUAUUGUUAUAAUAGUUGUUGGAAAAUGACAUUUAUAGUUUUUAAAUUAUGGUUGAACUGUUCUGUUUACUAGUUGCAUACAUAAAAAAUAUACGAAAAAGAUGACAUCAAUGGUGUCAAUAUUUAUUCUUCGAUAUAAAGCAAAAUAUUUUGAUUGAGAUACACGUGAUAUGGACUUGUUUUGUAUUUACUUCAGCUGACAUCAUGAGUGAAAGAAAAGCUGUUAUUAAGAAUGCUGACAUGUCGGAAGAUAUGCAACAAGAUGCUGUUGAAGCACCAUGGUGAAGCUGAAAUCAUCCCUUUGUAAACAGGAGUUGGUUGACCGUUAUGGAAUAACCGUUUCACAAAUGAUAUCGGAUAUGUUCCUUACGUCGUAACUACAAUCCCCUUCCCUUUCAUGAGUGUGACCUACCGAAUUAGACUUUUUACCGGAUUGUUUAUCACAUAAGCAACACGACGGGUGCCACAUGUGGAGCAGGAUCUGCUUACCCUUCUGGAGCACCUGCGAUCGCCCCUAGUUUUUGGUGAGGUUUAUGUUGCUUAUUCUUUAGUUUUCUAUGUUGUGUCAUGUGUACUAUUGUUUGUCUGUUUGUCUUUUUUAUUUUUAGCCAUGGCGUUGUCAGUUUAUUUUCGAUCUAUGAGUUUGACUGUCCCUUUGGUAUCUUUCGUCCCUCUUUUUUUUUUUAAACUGAUGGUCUUGGGUUAUAACCGUUGAAAAAUGUUAUAAACAGUCAG